rnacentral:rRNA from 1 species
GAUGAACGCUAGCGGCAGGCUUAAUACAUGCAAGUCGUGGGGCAGCAGCUCUGUAGCAAUACAGAGGCUGGCGACCGGCAAACGGGUGCGGAACACGUACGCAACUUACCCAUAACUGGUGAAUAGCCCUCCGAAAGGAGGAUUAAUACAUCGUAACAUAAUGAGAUGGCAUCAUUUUAUUAUUAUAGCUCCGGCGGUUAUGGAUGGGCGUGCGGCNGAUUAGGUAGUUGGCGGAGUAAUAGCCCACCAAGCCUACGAUCAGUAACUGGGU